AAGAGUCUUCUAUUUAGAGAGCUGGGUUCUAAUCUUCUCUUGAGAAGCUUUCGGUGCCGGAGGCCUGGCCCUAUUAUAGGGGGUGUGAAGGCACAGAAUUACAAACGCUAUUCAGCAGAAGACCUCACUGUCCUCCUUUACAGCGAUGUAUACGGAGGGGGGGUAGGUGCGUCCGUCGUGGACGGUGUCCCCCCAAAAGAAUCAUUGGACGCUGCACUCCCCGGUGUGUUUGCUGUAGACGAAACUUCCUGGAAGAGUGACAGCAUCAGAGAUCAUCAAUGCAGAAUUUCUGGGAAUCUGGGAGAUGACGUCCUGCUUCGAAAAUCAUUGGAGAAAAUCCACAAGGGAACCUUUCUAUCAUCC